GGGAUUGUGGCUCAGUGGUAGAGCACACGCCUUACACGUGUGAGGGUUUGAUCCUC
rnacentral:tRNA from 1 species